UAUGGCCAUAUGCCUGCAUGGUGU
rnacentral:piRNA from 1 species